UGUAGGCUGGUUUUCCAGGCAAAUCCGGAAAAUCAAGGCUGAGGCGUGAUGACGAGGCACUACGGUGCUGAAGCAACAAAUGCCCUGCUUCCAGGAAAAGCCUCUAAGCAUCAGGUAACAUCAAAUCGUACCCCAAACCGACACAGGUGGUCAGGUAGAGAAUACCAAGGCGCUUGAGAGAACUCGGGUGAAGGAACUAGGCAAAAUGGUGCCGUAACUUCGGGAGAAGGCACGCUGACAUGUAGGUGAAGUGAUUUACUCAUGGAGCUGAAGUCAGUCGAAGAUACCAGCUGGCUGCAACUGUUUAUUAAAAACACAGCACUGUGCAAACACGAAAGUGGACGUAUACGGUGUGACGCCUGCCCGGUGCCGGAAGGUUAAUUGAUGGGGUCAGCGCAAGCGAAGCUCCUGAUCGAAGCCCCGGUAAACGGCGGCCGUAACUAUAACGGUCCUAAGGUAGCGAAAUUCCUUGUCGGGUAAGUUCCGACCUGCACGAAUGGCGUAAUGAUGGCCAGGCUGUCUCCACCCGAGACUCAGUGAAAUUGAACUCGCUGUGAAGAUGCAGUGUACCCGCGGCAAGACGGAAAGACCCCGUGAACCUUUACUAUAGCUUGACACUGAACAUUGAGCCUUGAUGUGUAGGAUAGGUGGGAGGCUUUGAAGCGUGGACGCCAGUCUGCGUGGAGCCAACCUUGAAAUACCACCCUUUAAUGUUUGAUGUUCUAACGUGGACCCGUAAUCCGGGUUGCGGACAGUGUCUGGUGGGUAGUUUGACUGGGGCGGUCUCCUCCUAAAGAGUAACGGAGGAGCACGAAGGUUGGCUAAUCCUGGUCGGACAUCAGGAGGUUAGUGCAAUGGCAUAAGCCAGCUUGACUGCGAGCGUGACGGCGCGAGCAGGUGCGAAAGCAGGUCAUAGUGAUCCGGUGGUUCUGAAUGGAAGGGCCAUCGCUCAACGGAUAAAAGGUACUCCGGGGAUAACAGGCUGAUACCGCCCAAGAGUUCAUAUCGACGGCGGUGUUUGGCACCUCGAUGUCGGCUCAUCACAUCCUGGGGCUGAAGUAGGUCCCAAGGGUAUGGCUGUUCGCCAUUUAAAGUGGUACGCGAGCUGGGUUUAGAACGUCGUGAGACAGUUCGGUCCCUAUCUGCCGUGGGCGCUGGAGAACUGAGGGGGGCUGCUCCUAGUACGAGAGGACCGGAGUGGACGCAUCACUGGUGUUCGGGUUGUCAUGCCAAUGGCACUGCCCGGUAGCUAAAUGCGGAAGAGAUAAGUGCUGAAAGCAUCUAAGCACGAAACUUGCCCCGA
rnacentral:rRNA from 1 species